GUAUAGCAAUAGCUAAUUGCACCAACAAAUAGUUGAUGCAAUAUCGACUCUGUCGAAUAAAAUUCUAGGUAGAAUUAUGAUAAUGACAUUGUCUGCCUAUGUGUCUUGACCAAAUUACGUGCCAGCAGUCGCGGUAAUACGUAGAAGACUAGUGUUAUUCAUCUUUAAUAGGUUUAAAGGGUACCUAGACGGUAAAUCAAGCCUUCAAGGGGACUAAUUUACUAGAGUUACUUGUGAGGGGGUAUUAAAGUACUAAUGGUGUAGAGAUGAAAUUCUGUCAUACCUAUUUUCGGAAGAAAAAUUAUGGCACAGGUAUAGGCGAAAGCAUCCCCUUAUGUGAUAACUGACGUUGAAGGACGAAGGCUUUGUGUCGCGAACAGGAUUAGAUACCCCAGUAGUCAAAGCAGAAAAUGAUGAAUGUCAUAGAUUAGACAUAUAGUUUAUUCUAUAAAUGAAAGUGUAAGCAUUCCACCUCAAGAGUAAUUUGGCAACAUUGGAACUGAAAUCAUUAGACCGUUUCUGAAACCAGUAGUGAAGUAUGUUGUUUAAUUUGAUAAUCCGCAAAAAACCUUACCACAAUUUGAAUAUUUAUAUCUUUUAUCCUUCAUUUCCAUCUUUUCGUGGAAAAGAUGAUAAAAUAUAUAUUUACAAGCGUUGCCCCGGCUGUCUUCAGUUAAUGUCGUGAGACUUUGGUUAGUUCCAUUAAAUUAACGUAAACCCUUACUUUAUUUUUAUAUAAAGUAGUUCCCCACUAGAUUGGAUAAGAUAACAGGGACUAAGACAAGUCAUCAUGGCCUGAAUAUUGU
rnacentral:rRNA from 1 species